rnacentral:rRNA from 1 species
AGCUUGCUCUGCUGAUCAGUGGCGAACGGGUGAGUAACACGUGAGUAACCUGCCCUUGACUCUGGGAUAAGCGCUGGAAACGGCGUCUAAUACCGGAUACGACCUUCCCCGGCAUCGGGUGGGGGUGGAAAGAUUUUUUGGUCAAGGAUGGACUCGCGGCCUAUCAGCUUGUUGGUGAGGUAAUGGCUCACCAAGGCGACGACGGGUAGCCGGCCUGAGAGGGUGACCGGCCACACUGGGACUGAGACACGGCCCAGACUCCUACGGGAGGCAGCAGUGGGGAAUAUUGCACAAUGGGCGAAAGCCUGAUGCAGCAACGCCGCGUGAGGGAUGACGGCCUUCGGGUUGUAAACCUCUUUUGGCAGGGAAGAAGCGAAAGUGACGGUACCUGCAGAAAAAGCACCGGCUAACUACGUGCCAGCAGCCGCGGUAAUACGUAGGGUGCGAGCGUUGUCCGGAAUUAUUGGGCGUAAAGAGCUCGUAGGCGGUUUGUCGCGUCUGCUGUGAAAUCCCGAGGCUCAACCUCGGGCCUGCAGUGGGUACGGGCAAACUAGAGUGCAGUAGGGGAGACUGGAAUUCCUGGUGUAGCGGUGGAAUGCGCAGAUAUCAGGAGGAACACCGAUGGCGAAGGCAGGUCUCUGGGCUGUAACUGACGCUGAGGAGCGAAAGCGUGGGGAGCGAACAGGAUUAGAUACCCUGGUAGUCCA